GGGUCAUAUAAAGGAGAAAUAAAUCUCUGUCCUGUUUAAGCCACAAUUUGGGGGCUCUGAUAGAUGGAACAAAUCCUGAAGACCUUGCUACUCAAACCCGUGGCUGGACAGCCAUAGCAGCACUGGGGGCUUGUUAGAAAUGCAGAAUGUCAGAUUCCUUUCCAGACUGAUUGAUUGAAUCAAAAUCUAUGUUUUAACAGGUUGGUGUCCAGGUGAUGUAUAGGCAAAUUAAAGUCUGAGAAGCAUUGUCCUAAAUAACACACCUACGAAAAACAAAUCAGUCAUCAGAAAUGGUGUUUCUUCCCCCACUGGGUUAUGCCUCUCCCAUCAGCCUUCUGCUGGGUUCUAGUGGGAGAGGCAGGAAUUGGGGAUUUUGUUGGUGCUUGUGGCUUAGACCAACUUCCACAUCCCCAUUUGCUCUUGCUAGCAGCCAUGCUUUUCAUGUCACCAUAGCAACUACAGAGCGGGGGGGAAAAAAGUGACAGUCAUUGUGGGCUGCUGGAAGAGGUGGUGGCAAUAUAGGUCAUCCUCCCAGUAGUGUGAGGUUUUGAAGGUCUAUGACUGCCCCAAUGGCAUAUGCACUUGUGCUAAGCCCUUCAUUCAUUGACACCCUUCACGUGCCCAGGUAGCUAAACUGUCCCAUUCUGUUAAUCUUCAGGCUGAGUCUGGCUUAGUUGCUUAAAGUUCAGUCGACCAUGGGAUAACCUGCGCAUUCUGAGCCUUUUCAGAAUGCUUCUGGAAAACUGCCAAAUAGCCCAGCAUGAAAAUUAGCUAGAGUAGUUUUAGGGGAAGACCUACUCGAAGGAAUCACACAGGUGUUACGCCAAGCUGCAUAGAUAAUGUAAAGAAAUACAUUUUUUCAAUUUGCCAUUGAAAAACUAUAAGUAAUAGCCACAUGUUUCAGUACUUUAAAAUGAGGUUCUCCACUUUGGGAGGCCGAGGCCGG
rnacentral:lncRNA from 1 species